rnacentral:rRNA from 1 species
AGCAGCCGCGGUAAUUCCAGCUCCAAUAGCGUAUAUUAAAGUUGUUGCAGUUAAAAAGCUCGUAGUUGAAUUUCGGGAUCAAUUUGCUGGUCGUGCCUUCGGUACGCACUGGUAUUAUUGGUUUCUCCUUUCUGAUGAAUCGCGAUGUCAUUAAUUUGGUGUCGUGGGGAAUCAGGACUGUUACUUUGAAAAAAUUAGAGUGUUUAAAGCAGGCUCACGCUUGAAUACAUUAGCAUGGAAUAAUGAAAUAGGACGUUUGAUUCUACUUUGUUGGUUUCUAGGAUCGACGUAAUGAUUAAUAGGGAUAGUUGGGGGCAUUAGUAUUCAAUUGUCAGAGGUGAAAUUCUUGGAUUUAUUGAAGACUAACUACUGCGAAAGCAUUUGCCAAGGAUGUUUUCAUUAAUCAAGAACGAAAGUUAGGGGAUCGAAGACGAUCAGAUACCGUCGUAGUCUUAACCAUAAACUAUGCCGACUAGGGAUCGGAUGAUGUUAAUUUUUAAUGA